CCUACGGGAGGCAGCAGUGGGGAAUCUUGCACAAUGGGGGAAACUCUGAUGCAGCGAUGCCGCGUGAGUGAAGAAGGCCUUUGGGUUGUAAAGCUCUUUUGUAGGGGAAGAUAAUGACUGUACCCUAAGAAUAAGGUCCGGCUAACUUCGUGCCAGCAGCCGCGGUAAUACGAAGGGACCUAGCGUAGUUCGGAAUUACUGGGCGUAAAGCGCGCGUAGGCCGUUGGGUUAGUUAAUUGUGAAAUCCCAAAGCUUAACUUUGGAACUGCAAUUAAAACUGCUCGACUAGAGUUUGAUAGAGGAAAGCGGAAUACAUAGUGUAGAGGUGAAAUUCGUAGAUAUUAUGUAGAACACCAGUUGCGAAGGCGGCUUUCUGGAUCAACACUGACGCUGAGGCGCGAAAGUAUGGGUAGCAAAGAGGAUUAGAUACCCUCGUAGUCCAUACCAUAAACGAUGAUUGCUAGAUGUUGGAAAUUUAUUUUCAGUAUCGCAGCUAACGCAUUAAGCAAUCCGCCUGGGGAUACGACCGCAAGGUUAAAACUCAAAGGAAUUGACGG
rnacentral:rRNA from 1 species